rnacentral:ncRNA from 2 species
UGUAAUUCUCAGGGCGGGGUGCAACUCCCCACCGGCGGUAUUCUGUUAAGACAGAGAGCCCGCGAGCGCCUGCAAGCCAGGGUCAGCAGAUCCGGUUAGAUCCCGGAGCCGACGGUCACAGUCCGGACGAAAGAGGAUUAAC